rnacentral:lncRNA from 1 species
GAUCUGGGGGAGGAGAAAGCAGCGGUGGGGUCGUUCGCACGCUCCGCGGUCCGCCUCGGUUGGCAAGGUGGGGUCGGGCGGCAGGCCGGGGAUCAGGCGGAGGCGACUCCACCGCCCCACGGUGCCGCCAAGGGGCCGCUCAUGCCAGCCCCCGGGGGUGGGGGCUCAAGGCUGGGCCGCGGGCUCCCCUGGGGUCGCGGCGUUUGCCUCCUGCGAGGCAGCGAUGGGGGGGGGGGCGGCGGCGGCCACGGAGCUGCUGGGCCUAAUCCAGGUCAGCAGGGGGGGGCGCGGCCGUCGCGGCUGCCUCAGCUGCUGCCUCAGCUGCUGCUGCCCCCGCCGACGCCGGAGCCACGGCCGCGGGCCUCAUCCUACUCCGCCUCAGCGCGGCAGCGGCGGCCAGAACGAGGCCGGCUCGGGCCCUGCGUCAUCGCGCAGUGCGUGCUCUGGUUCCGCCCCCGGCGGCAGUAGGCGAGGGCGGCUCUGGCGGCUCCCAUCCCCCUCUCCACCAGCAGCUGUUCACCGUCCUGCGUCAAUUUUUGCUUGUCUCUGCUUGGCUCGGUACCUGACUCCGAAACCAAUCUCCCGUCUCCCGCGCCUCCCCACAUUCGUUGCUCCCGCCCCGUCUAAGGCUCAGUUCUUACCUGUGCACUGCCUGACAAUCUUCUCACCACCCUCCACGAGGCGGUCUAUUUAUAUAAACCUAUAUCGGAAUGGAUCAGGCCCAUGAUUAAAAUGUUAAAAGGCUUCCCCUUUAUCCCAUCAGAACAAAGUCCUAGCUCGUUAGUGAACCCUCCCUACCUCUCCAAUCAUGUCCUUAUCCUCCCACAUCACAGCCGGAGAGAUUCUUCUUCCAGUUAUAUAUCAGAUUGUUCAUUUAUUUCCAGUCCCAGCACCAAAGUCCAAGCCACCAUCAUCUCUCACCUUGACUUCUGCAAUAGACUCUCAGCUGUUCCUGAGUUCAUCCUUGCCCACAUCCAAUUCACUGUUGGCGCAGUUGACAGAAUUAUCUUUUUAAAAUUUAAAUCAGAUGAGGUCAUUCUCCUGUUAAAACCUUCAGUGUCUCCUCAAGGCUGUCCUUAAAACAAUCCCUAAAUGGUUUACAAAUCUGACUCCCUUUCAAUCUCAUUAUCAGCAUUGUCACCUCUUUCUCAAAUUCUAAACUAGGCUCUCUAAAAUGCUUUUCGUUAUCUGGAAUAGUAUUGCCUCUGCCUGGGGCCUACGUCCAUACUGUUUCUCUCACAGAAACCGGCUUCUCUCCACUCCCAACCUUUCUGCUUCUUAUCAGGCUAAUCAUUAUUCUCAGGAAUCCCUCUGGAUGCAACUUCAUUUCCCCUGGGGAGACUCUCCUGACCCUCCAGUCUGGGUUAGUCGCUUCCUCUGUGCUCUCACACAGCCCGAUCAAGCUGAAUCAUCUGUCCCUCAGUGCAAGGCUGGCACACUGCCCAAGGUAGAGUAUGCUCUCUCCUUGGUUCAGUGAACAGCUCAAACAACAUAUGCAAAAGAAGGAAGCAAGAAGGAUGACAGUGCUCCUGAUAGACGUUCAUUCAACAGGUGGAUCUUGACUGCCUUUCGUUUUAUUCAUCAUUUACUGAAUUUGUGUGUGCGUGUGUAUACCAGAACCCACGCUAAGGACUGAGGAAAAGGAUGAUCACACCUGGCUUGUUGCUGAUAGAGCCCAGAGACCACCUGGGAAGACAAGUAAUCGGAUGAGUCCUAAGCCCACACCC